UGUAUUUCAUCGCAAACUACUUUGACUAUGUCUUCCCAUUAUUUACUCGCAAAAUUAGAAUGAAUAUGAACCGUUCUUGUAUAGGCUGACCCAAAGCUUAACGAUUAUACAGGCUGACCCAAAGCUUCAACUAACCUCCAAAUAUUGAACAGAUUACGAACUGGGUUGAGCUUGGUGAGAUACAUUACUGACUUCUGGCAUUGUCUGAUUUUUCAAAAAAUACCAAACUAAAGUGAGAGAGGCUGAACUUGACCUUCUUUAAGGGUGUAUGGAUGACACUUUUCUAGAAAAGGAAUGCUUGAAAAGGAAUGAUCGAUAACUCCUUUCUGUAGUUUUCGUUUUCAAACAGCCUCUUACUAUUGGGUCUAAUUUUCCC
rnacentral:lncRNA from 1 species